rnacentral:lncRNA from 1 species
GGCGGGAGCUGGGUCUGGAGAGGCCACCGCGAGGCACAAGCUGGGCCUACAGGGACCAGCGUGAGGCAGGAGCUGGGCAAGUGGUAGCUUGAGUCAUUGUGAGGUCACUAAUCCCAGCUACUUGGGAAGCUGAAGUGGGAGGGUAGUUUGAGCCUGUGAGGUCAAGGCUGCGCUGAAAUGUGACAAAGUAAUAUGACGGCUUUCAUCAUAUUUUAUAUAACUAUAUAUUAUGACUAUAUAAAUAUAAAUUUAUAUACACUCACUGAAGCCUCAACCUUCUGAAUUUAAGCCAUCUUCCUGCCUCAGCUCCCCAAUGGCUGGUACCACAGUUGAGUGCCACCAUACCUGGCUAUUUUUUAAAUUUUU